GGGCAUGUGGUGUAGUUGGUUAUCACGCUCGCUUAGCAUGAACACCAACAGGGCUGUAUGGUGAACCUGCCUGCGAGAGGGGUCCGGUUCAAUCCCGGACAUGUCCA